rnacentral:rRNA from 1 species
UACGUAGGGUGCGAGCGUUAAUCGGAAUUACUGGGCGUAAAGCGUGCGCAGGCGGUUCUCCAAGUCCGUUGUGAAAGCCCCGGGCUCAACCUGGGAAUGGCAGUGGAAACUAGGGGACUGGAAUCUGGCAGAGGGGGGUGGAAUGCCGCGUGUAGCAGUGAAAUGCGUAGAGAUGUGGAGGAAUACCGAUGGCGAAGGCAGGUCUCUGGGCUGACACUGACGCUCAUGCACGAAAGCGUGGGGAGCAAACAGG